rnacentral:rRNA from 1 species
AUGGCGAGGCAUCGCCUCCUUGCCGUGCUCAUGCUCCUCGUCGGGGUAGUGGCAGCCUCCACUUUCCACCAAGCGGCCGCCGCUGGCCGGGGCCUUGCUGUCCUCGAGAAGUUUGCGGACCUGGAGCCAAAGCCAAAACCCAAACCAGAGCCAAUGCCCAAACAAAUGCCGAAGCCUGAACCAGAAUCAAAACCAAAGCCCAAGCCGAUGCCAAAACCCGAACCCAAGCCCAAGCCGAUGCCCAAACCUGAACCAAAGCCAGAGCCCAAGCAUAAACCAAUGCCUAAGCCAGAGCCCAAGCCUAAACCAAUGCCUAAGCCGGAACCGAAGCCUAAACCUGAACCAAAACCAAAGCCACCACCAAAGCACAAGCCGCCAACAGCUUACAAUUGA